rnacentral:tRNA from 1 species
GACCGCGUAGCUCAGUUGGAAGAGCAUUGGGCUAGUAUUUCAAAGGUCGUAGGUUCGAAUCCCGCCGUGGCCA